rnacentral:rRNA from 1 species
UACUCCUACGGGAGGCAGCAGUGGGGAAUCUUGCACAAUGGGGGAAACCCUGAUGCAGCGACGCCGCGUGAGUGAUGAAGCCCUUCGGGGUGUAAAGCUCUUUCGCACGCGACGAUGAUGACGGUAGCGUGAGAAGAAGCCCCGGCUAACUUCGUGCCAGCAGCCGCGGUAAUACGAAGGGGGCUAGCGUUGUUCGGAAUUACUGGGCGUAAAGGGCGCGUAGGCGGUUUAUCAAGUCAGGCGUGAAAGCCCCGGGCUCAACCUGGGAAUUGCGUUUGAUACUGGUAGACUUGAGUUCGGGAGAGGUGAGUGGAAUUCCCAGUGUAGAGGUGAAAUUCGUAGAUAUUGGGAAGAACACCGGUGGCGAAGGCGGCUCACUGGACCGAUAC